GCUGAGUGGUUUUCUGUGCUUUGAACUCACAGCAUUGUAAGCAUCAUCACCAGGGGCAGAAUUUUAUGGAACCUCUUCAACUUGGAUUUGAACAUCCUGAAGCUAAAGCUACAAUAAGACUCUUUCACAUUUUGUGAGAGUUGGUUCCCUCCUUCUACUUUUUACAUAAAACUCAGGUUAAUUUAACCUAAAUUUUAAGUCUACAACUCUGAAAUCUGAAGAACUAAGGCUAUUUUAUAAGAAAAAUGAAGAUUGCAAGGAAAAAGCUCCACCACCAUCACACCAUUCCCCAAUGAGGAAAGAGAGUCUAAAUUGGAAGUCUCUACCAGGUUCCUCCCCUAGCAACUUGGAGGAAACCACAGAAGAGGGAAGGAAAUACCGUAGGAGUCAGAGGGGAUGAAGGAAUGGCGGACACCAGGAGAACACAGCCCAUUGAAUCAGAAAGUUCUUAGAGGAAGUAAAAUGUUACCUGUAAAAACUUGAUGACCUGAGUUUGACCCUGGAAGCCAUGUAAAGGAGAACAGAAUCAAGUUCACAACAUUAUCCUCUGACAUCUGCAUGUGUGCCUUAGCAGGCAACAAUAUAAGGAAUGAAUAUGGAUGUGUUGAUUCAAAAAUGAGGAGAAUUUUGUUGUUCUGGAGCAUCAAUCCCCAGGAGGAGCCAACAGCUGGCUCUUUACUGUAAUGGCCUUGGAUGUUUCCCCAUUGCUCAGACCUCACGUCUGUGCAAAGCCUCACAACACUGUGGUAAAUACAGGCUAAGCAGACUAAAAGAGAAGUAUAGAAUUAACUCUCACAAAGAGUAACUCCCUCUUGGGGAAUUUUAUGGAACAGUUUUAAAGGAACGACUGGAGGAUGAGGCACUGUGGGAAGCUCUGAAGCCCAAGAGAGCCAGGUCUGAGGCUCGGCUCAACUGUCUCACAGUGACUUAAUCUUCAACAAGUCACUUUGAACUUCACUACCUCUGGAUGCCAAAUGAACUUGGCAAUCACACCUAGCCUUGAAGAGGCAGGAAAAUGAAUUGAGAUAUCAAAAAAGAAAAAGAAAAGAAAAAAA
rnacentral:lncRNA from 1 species